CAAUAGCGUAUAUUAAAGUUGUUGCGGUUAAAAAGCUCGUAGUUGGAUUUCUGCUGAGAACGACCGGUCCGCCCUUUGGGUGUGUAUCUGGCUCUUUCUUGGCAUCUUCUUGGUGAACGUUGCUGCACUUGACUGUGUGGAGCGCUACCCAGGACUUUUACUUUGAGGAAAUUAGAGUGUUUCAAGCAGGCAUACGCCUUGAAUACAUUAGCAUGGAAUAAUAAGAUAGGACCUCGGUUCUAUUUUGUUGGUUUCUAGAGCUGAGGUAAUGAUUAAUAGGGAUAGUUGGGGGCAUUCGUAUUUAACUGUCAGAGGUGAAAUUCUUGGAUUUAUGAAAGACUAACUUCUGCGAAAGCAUUUGCCAAGGAUGUUUUCAUUAA
rnacentral:rRNA from 1 species